GAGGUCGGACCCGGAAAUCCCUCCCCUUCUUCUGCAGACACAGCCACGAGCAGAGAGCAGCCUAGCUCCUCACCACAUCUUCCAAGACGAAACCAUGUUUAAUCCCAAAUAUGCAGAUGUGCAGAUGAGGAUGGCAAGUCUGAUCUAUGAAUGUUACACUUGAAAAGAUACCACCAUUGGCUACUACACAUGGCCAAAUAUUGGUUAUCACUGUGUGAACCUUAAGCAGGUUCAGAAGUCAUGCUGUUGUCACAGAAGAUGCAGCAGAUGUCAUCUGUUGUGAUCAAGAGAUGAGCAGUUGGAACAGCAGUGAAAUGUGACACACUGGGUGUCUGCUUCAUCUUAAGGAAGGUUACAGGGCCAGUUGACUGACCUGGCAGUCUAUGGAGCGGCCUCAUUUGAAAGGCGUUUAUGGAACUGACGAAUCACCGCUUGGAGGAAGUCUUCAUAAUUAAUAAAGGCUGUCAAGAAAAGUGCCUUGACUUGA